ensembl:lncRNA
UCUAAUCUUUCUGUAUUCUAUUUGUUUUCUUUUCAUUUAUUAUACAAUUAAAAAAAGCAAAAAAAAAAAAAAAGACCUCUAACACUAGCCUGCUCUUUUCUUUUUCUAUUCUAUCUGUUUACUUUUUAUUUAUUAUAUUAUUUAAAAGCCCUUGCUAUGUGUACUGUGUUAAGCUAACUGAGACUUGUUAUUGCACUUGUAUCAUGGUAACUGCUACAAUAUUUAGUUCAGUACAACAAAAAGAUACAUGCAGUCUUUACUAAGACGAUUCAUGUUUAAUACAACUUUAUACAGCUCUCAUUGCAGUUUCAACAGAAGCGCCCACUCAAAAAUCUUCACAAAUAGACACAUGUGAGUAAAGUUUAGCGUUCAUUUAAAACAUGUACCUGACAAAAUAAUUAUUCUUUCAACGUGCUUAUUGUAUCUCAUAUAGCUCAUUGUCCCACAGAACAGGCAACUUACUGCAUCUUUUCUAAAUAUCAGUAGAACAACAUAUAAGGAAAAUUCUCCCUUUUCAUCAAAUCACUGAAACAUUACUUCAACACUACAAAUUUCUUCCUAAUGUAUACAUUUCAACUGAUCAUCCUAAAGGUCCAAUACAAUACACAGGUUUCCUGAGUGCUUUUCCCGUUGGGCUAAUUUGACUGUUGCAUGAAUUAGAUGUUUUCUUUCAAUUUUUUUUUUUAAAUAAAUAAAACAAAUCUACAUGUCCAUACAUUUUCUCAGUUCCUUUGAGUAAUACUUUAAUUCUCAAGUGACUGAUGCAUAUAGAAAACCUAAACAUGGAUUAAAGUGUUGGUUUUGUUUUGACACAGUAUGGUUUAUAGUGCUGGUUUCCACUGGUGUUGCUGUAAUUUUGUCUGGACUCACAGGAUUCCUCUGUCGUUGCUGGUUUGCAAGUAAGUAAAGUUUGCAAAUGUACGUUCUUUGUAGGUUCUGUUGUAUAUAUACUAAGCUUCAUGCAGAAUUUAUCAUGCAAUCUAGAACUGACUAUUGACAUACUGUUUAAUUCAGUAGCUCAUUGUUUUCUAGGUAAAAAAAGAAGAAAACAAUCAAAAAAACUGAAUGAGCCCAGUCAAGAAACUGGUACGAGUUGUUCUGGACCUGCAGAGACAUAUUCUCUGAUCACUUUUGUACCAGCCACAUCUCAGCCCAUAGGCCUCGAACACCCAGAGUCACAUCAGGACAGCACAGCAGUUCUCACAGACACUCGCUCUUUCAUUACAUCUGUAAAUCCAAUUCACCAGCCCUCAGAUGGUUUGGUCAAUAAAAAACGGAAAUGGAGAAACACAGAGGAAAAUGUGAAUGUUAAUCAUCUAUACUCAACAAUCCCUGACAAACCAGUUCACUCCAACACAGGAGAUCAAGUCUACAGUUUGGUGAAGAUGCACUGA